CCCUUAGAUGUUCUGGGCCGCACGCGUGCUACACUGAGUGGAUCAGCGGGUCAGGUUGCGCGAAAGCGUUUCCUAAUCUUUAAAUCCGCUCGUGAUGGGGAUUGACGGUUGCAAUUUUCUGUCAUGAACGAGGAAUACCUUGUAAGCGCGGGUCAUCAUCCCGCGCUGAAUACGUCCCUGCCCUUUGUACACACCGCCCGUCGCUCCUACCGAUUGAGUGGUCCGGUGAGGCUUUGGGAUCUGAGCGGAAAGAGCGUUUCGCUGUUUCUGCUCGGAAAACUCAGUCGAACCUUAUCGUUUAGAGGAAGGAGAAGUCGUAACA
rnacentral:rRNA from 1 species